rnacentral:rRNA from 1 species
GAUGAACGCUAGCUACAGGCUUAACACAUGCAAGUCGAGGGGAAACGGCAUUAAGUGCUUGCACUUUUUGGACGUCGACCGGCGCACGGGUGAGUAACGCGUAUCCAACCUUCCCAUGACUAAGGGAUAACCUGCCGAAAGGCAGACUAAUACCUUAUGGUCUUCACUGACGGCAUCAGAUGUGAAGUAAAGAUUUAUCGGUUAUGGAUGGGGAUGCGUCUGAUUAGCUUGUUGGCGGGGUAACGGCCCACCAAGGCAACGAUCAGUAGGGGUUCUGAGAGGAAGGUCCCCCACAUUGGAACUGAGACACGGUCCAAACUCCUACGGGAGGCAGCAGUGAGGAAUAGUGAUCAAUGGGCGAGAGCCUGAACCAGCCAAGUAGCGUGCAGGAUGACGGCCCUAUGGGUUGUAAACUGCUUUUGUAUGGGGAUAAAGUCAAUCACGUGUGAUUGUUUGCAGGUACCAUACGAAUAAGGACCGGCUAAUUCCGU